GUCUGAAAAGUUUUGAGCUCCUAGGUGUCUGGUCAUUUUCAAAGAUAAUGUUUUUAACUUCUGUUUUUAGCCUGGAUCCUUCUCUUUAUCUUUCUCCACCUUGAUUCCUCCUUCUCCUUUUGACAGAUGUCUUCUCGAAAUCACGGCCCGAGAAGACAGAGAAAGCUAAGUACAAACGCAGCCUGGGCUCCAGUCCUCGUGUUCCUGUGACUUGAGUCAUUAGUUCUCCGGUUACUGCAAGCUCUUCGGACGGUAACACUCAUGCAGCGACUGGGAACAUUGCCCUUAAGCCAGACACCAGCAGACUCCAGCUCUGAUGGUAAUGUCCCUGCUUCAGCUGCCCUGAUUUAUCCCGUGUCAAAGGACAAAGAACCAGGAGCACAGGCAGUGUGAGACAGAGUCUAGGUGACCCUGAGUGACCUACCACGUGAACCACAGCCUGUGCUUACACGUUACCUUCUAGUCAACUCCACCCUUAUCAUUGUUUUAAUUUCAGCAAUCCCCCACACGCUUCCCUGUAUGUCCCCUUAUGUUUAGCUUAAUAGACUUAAAUUCACAAGA